rnacentral:rRNA from 1 species
GUCCACGCCCUAAACGAUGGAUACUAAGUGUCGGCGGGUUACCGCCGGUGCCGCACCUAACGGAGUAAGUAUCCCGCCUGGGGAGUACGGCCGCAAGGUUGAAACUCAAAGGAAUUGACGGGGCCCGCACAAGCGGUGGUGCAUGUGGUUUAAUUCGACGCAACGCGAAGAACCUUACCCAGGCUUGACAUGCUGGUUUUAAGAACCGGAAACGGCAAUGAACCCCGCAAGGGUAGCCAGCACAGGUGCUGCAUGGCUGUCGU